rnacentral:rRNA from 1 species
GACGAACCGAGCGAACGUUAUUCGGAAUCACUGGGCUUAAAGGGCGCGUAGGCGGGCAUUCAAGUCUAUGGUGAAAUCCUCCAGCUCAACUGGAGAACUGCCGUGGAUACUGGGUGUCUCGAGGGAGGUAGGGGCGUGCGGAACUAAUGGUGGAGCGGUGAAAUGCGUUGAUAUCAUUAGGAACUCCGGUGGCGAAGGCGGCACGCUGGACCUCUUCUGACGCUGAGGCGCGAAAGCCAGGGGAGCAAACGGG